rnacentral:lncRNA from 1 species
CUAUGUAGCCUUUUCAAUUAUAAAAAUAUGUGGUUAGGUAAAAAUUACUAUUAUAUAUAUAUUGAAAAGACUGAUAAUAGGAAAGAUAUGUUAUGAGGGUAUUACCUCUUUGGCUAAGGGUGAUCUAGAAAGUGACAGGUAUUAGUCACUGGCUUAGAAAUUGAUUUUCCAAGGGGGAAAACAAAUGCGAGCAUAAUUUAGUUAAUGCCUCAGCUACUGUGCAAAUGAAUAGUCAGAUUCUUGGAUCAGUGGGAAGUAUAUCUAAGUAGUUUUACCACCUUGUGUGUUCGUUAUUUUGUAGGACGGAUGUUCCUGAUACUUCAGCUUUUGCUGUGCUCAGUUGUCACACCAACUGUGAUAGGGAGGAGAAUAAGGUGAACGAUGGACAGGGCUGUCGUCUUAGAUUGGGCAAUUUGUCUGAGGGUCCUCAUGGUGUUGUUAAAAAGUAUUAAAUUAAUCAAAAAAUUACCAUAGUUCAAUGAUAAAUAAUCAAGAAUGAUUAUUUCAAAUAAUUGAUAAUGGGCGGAAUAGAGGUCGAAAAUUGGUUGAGAAGACUGAUCCUGUAAACUGAGGUUAGGGGUAUUGAAGGGUGUCAUUCUUGGGAUACUUAUUUUUAUUAUCACAAUUAUUAUUUUUAUUAUUAUUAAACUAUUACCAUUAUUAAAUGGAGAAGGAAAUGGCAACCCACUCCAGUUUUCUUGCCUGGAGUAUCCCAUGGACAGAGGAGCCUAGUGGACUGCAAUCCAUGGGGUUGAAAAGAGUCAGACAUGAAUGAGUGACUAACACAACAACCAUUAUUAUAUACUUAUUAUUCUUAUUGAUUCAAUGAUUAAUAUAUAUUACCACUUAUUCAAUGAUUUAAUGAAAACAAAUAUAGAAAUGAACAAAGAAAAGAGACUUAAUCGUGGACCAGUGAUGAUGAUCGUGAUGGGAAGAGUCCUAAAUGAUGAAAACAUGUCUCAGACUCUGAGGUCCAACCCAGAAUGUCAGUAGUCUCUUCCUUCUGGUGAAAUUGUUUCUGUAGAGAUAUCAGGAACAUAGACCCUACACCCUCAAGCUGAUUUAAGCAGUGGCACCGUGGCACUGACCUCUGUGUUUGCAUCUCUGUGUUAGGAGCACAGAGACCAGUGUGAGUAAAAGUCAAAAUCUUGUGUCCUUUCUGUGGUUUUUUUGAGAGCAUUCUAAUGUAUUGUUGAAAAGUAACAUAUAAUAAGAAUCGCCAGCAGUAGCCCAG